rnacentral:rRNA from 1 species
GAUGAACGCUGGCGGCGUGCCUAAUACAUGCAAGUCGAGCGAACAGACGAGGAGCUUGCUCCUCUGACGUUAGCGGCGGACGGGUGAGUAACACGUGGAUAACCUACCUAUAAGACUGGGAUAACUUCGUGAAACCGGAGCUAAUACCGGAUAAUAUAUUUAACCGCAUGGUUCAAUAUUGAAAGACGUUUUUUCUGUCACUUAUAGAUGGUUCCUCGCCUCAUUAGCUAGUUGGUAAGGUAACGGCUUACCAAGGCAACGAUGCGUAGCCGACCUGAGAGGGUGAUAGGCCACACUGGAACUGAGACACGGUAGAGAAACCUACGGGAGGCAGCAGUAGGGAAUCUUCCGCAAUGGGCGAAAGCUUGACGGAGCAAAGCCGCGUGAGUGAUGAAGGUAUUCGGAUCGUAAAACUCUGUUAUUAGGGAAGAACAAAUGUGUAAGUAACUAUGCACGUCUUGACGGUAACUAAUCAGAAAGCAACGGCUAACUACGUG